UCAGACUGAAAAUGACCCUUGACUUCAUCGUGGUCUGAGGUCAGAUAACUGCGGCAACAUCAUUGUGGCGCAUUAAGCUUAUCACCUGCUCCCCCAAAUGGCAAAGUGAUAAAACCCAUGUGCCGACAAAG